rnacentral:lncRNA from 1 species
GUCGUCACAAGUUUUAACUCAAAAUAUACACUAUCUUAACUGAGACACUACUAGCAAAAUCUCCAAAAUGGGUAGCCUCUUACAAACAGCUUUUACUUCUAACUCUGUUCUCUGAUACAGAACUGAACAUUGAGUAAGCUAAAAUCAUGAACAGUGAUUAGUCUGGAAGGAUUAUGUACCUCUCAAGAGCUCAGGUAGUAAUGCAUGAAAGGCAAAAAUCAGGCUUUAGGUUUUAAAAUAAAGACGUUUCUUUUAUUCAUCAUUUUAGUGCUUAUUUUAAGACUCGUUAGAGAGACACAUUUUUCAAUAUUCACGGCUAUUACAAUACUCUGUUAAUGAGCUUUCUGCACCAUGGGGGAGGAGUGAAGUAUGAGAGAGAUUAAGAGAGAGAGAGAGAGAGCAUGCAGGGUUCCUUCAGGAUAUCAGUAAGAAAGGCCUGACAAGAAAUGGCAUAAUAAAAUAGGUAUUUUAAUAAGGUAGAAUAAAAAGAGGAUUACAGACAGCAAGUAAAUCAUCCUUCACUUCAGAUUCUGUGGGCUACACAUUCAUGCAGCUUCAGAUGGACCCCAUAUGGAUUUUUCUCAUGGUAUACUGUAGAAACUCUGUUUCUGGAGACAGACUCCUCUUCCAUCCUGAACAGUGGUGCCCUUUGUUUUGCAUAACAAACAAAAUUACUGGUGUCCUGACAAUCUGUAAUGUUAUCUCUGUCACAACAUCCACAGCAUACAGCAUAGCCUGGGGCACUCCAGCAGAUUCCUUCACAGUGACUGGUCAUGCUAAGUUCUUCAAGAAUCUUUGAUUUUAAAGAUACAAGAACAUACAAAAACCUGCCAGCUGUAACCUGCAACAGCCUUCAAACUCAAAGAAAAAAAAAAAAAAAAAAAAAAAAAAGAAGAAGAAGAAAAGACAAUAGGUCUGCUCAUAUGAGUGAGUCUCUUGCUGUUUUGGUCAGGUUUGUGAGACUGAGUCCUAAAAAACAACAUCCAUGGGGUGUUUUUCAAUGUUUGAUUCAUUUACUAACUGGCUUUAAGUCAUCUGAAGAACAUGCCAUAUAUUCAGCUGGGACACUGGCAUCAUUCUCAAGUGUUCUCAAGAUGGCCAAGGUUUGAAGACAUUAACUCUUUCUUUAGGAAAAGGGAAAAAGGUUUGACAGCUACAUAACUGCAUUAGAGACAUUCUUUCUAAUGAUUUAUGUUUUCCCUUAUUUCACAGACAUGUCAGGGUGCAGAGGUUCUGAAUAGUCUUCACGUUGGUGUUGUGUGGCAGGGUGAGAAUUCUCCUUUUGUAAGUAAAAUUAUUUAUCCCAUAUUGCAAGCAUUUAUCGAAAACAAUACUAUAACACAACAAAGCAUCAUGAUUCAAUGAUAAUAUUACAUUGGGCCACAGGAAAUCUAGCUUCUUAUAUUGACCCUGAUAUGUGCUUCAGCGACAGUGGAAAACAGAUUUGAUUUUUUUUUAUUUAUUUUUUUUUAAAAUAAUGUAUGGAUGAGCAACUCCAGAACUUAGCAAAUUGCCUGCAUCACCCAUGGUAUAAACCUUACCUAAAAAAAAAGAAAGUGAAAAAGCAAUGAGGGAUUUUAAAUAUUGUAUCUUUAAAUAUUUAUUUUACUCAAACUGCAUGAUGAGGAAAGACACUAAUAUAUGAAGCAUAAAGAAAGAAAAAUUAAAACAAAGUGCUAGCUGGGUACGUAAUAGGCAGGUUGACAUUUCUAAAUGCAGUGCUCAAUAUACUGUUUCUUUAGUUUCUCUUUGAAAAUGAAACAUUUUUCCAUUUUUCUGAAUUGAAAGCAGCAUCUUACAUAUUAUCCCUCCUCACUCUCAAGGAAACAAACUUUUAUUACUUUUAAAGAUAGUUAAUGCUUAUUGUAAACAGUUUUUCAUUUCCUCUACAAAGACUUUUAAAUAUAAAUAUUUUCUCAAAGUCUUUUACUAUUCCAAACUUCAAAGAAGAAACUGAUUAUGAAAUUCUUCCAAGAUGUCUGUAAAUAGUGUAUGAUUAUAAGAUGUUUGAGUUGAAGUAACAGGGUGAAAAGGGAUCACAUGCAGAGACUUACCUUUUGAAGAGACCAUGUUAUAAGGUCACAGUUGAUGCACUGCAGGUCUCUCUCCUCUCUCUCUCCUGCUUGCUCACUCACUCAAAAAAAAAAAAAAAAAAAAAAAAAAGCCCUAAAAGCCCUGAUAUUCAAAUUUCAUAAUCAAGUAUUCUAAUAGAACACAACAGUUUCAUUAAUUGUGAAACCAUGAAAGAUUACAAAUAUUACCUCCUUAAACUAUAGAGUACUGCCACCACAUUGGUGACAGGUUUUUCUUUACUAUUAAAAAUCAAUAGAUUAUGUGGUCACCUGACAGUGCAAACUUUCAGGACUAGUCAAAGCUUGUUUUGGGCUGAAUGUGUCAAAUAACUAUUGGUAGUCUACCUACCACCCCACCUGUUUUAGAUGAAGUUCUGUGAAUGCCACCUGUGGUAAACUGAGGUAAAUAAAAAACAGUAGCACUUGAUGUCA